CCGGGGGAACUGAAACAUCUAAGUACCCCGAGGAAAAGAAAUCAACCGAGAUUCCCCCAGUAGCGGCGAGCGAACGGGGAGGAGCCCAGAGCCUGAAUCAGCAUGUGUGUUAGUGGAAGCGUCUGGACGCUUUUUACCACUUCGGAUGAUGAACCCGGAAGCUAUUAUCCGCUGAUUGCCGACCAUGCCCGCUAUGCCGCCGACUAUUCCUGGGUGGAAAUCUCGAUUAAUCCCCGCGCUCGUUUUCACGAUG
rnacentral:rRNA from 1 species